CUGUGAAUCUAUACAUUUCCUGGCUGCUGUAGAUUUAAUAUGUAUACUUAACGAUAGCUGAACUUUCAGUAUUUUGUGAAUAGCAGGUCAACUUAUAAAAGCCACUUUACUAGUUGUAAUCCUUGCAAACAGGCUUUCAUUUUGUUUUAUUGUCUUUUUGUGAUUCGAAUGCUUCAAUUUGAACUACAACGGUUACAGCUUUGGAGCAUGGCCCAAAUGAACGACAGCAAAGAGUCCUUAUUAAAAGGGCUCCCUUUAAUGGUACAAUUUUUCAUUUUAUAGAAACUUAAAUGUUAUGGUGAAGGGCUAAACCCACCACUAGUGGCAGUCUUCCUUCGCCUGGGAAUAAAAUGUUGUUGACAGCAGCAUUUGAUGGGAGGAGCGCAGUGUUUGGCCACACAUGAGUACCUCUAAUUCAUUGUUUUUCUAUGAGAAGCAAUGAAUUGGAGGAAAUCGUGAUGAGAUCAUUAGACAUGCUGAUGUCUUCGAAGGAGGAACGUACGGAUGUAGCAGUGGAAUCCCAGCACAGGAAACAAGGCAAGUAAAAUCUUUGAAACUUUAUUUUAUUUUUUGAUCAGCAAAGGGGGGUGGACUGAAAGAAAGUUAUAGUCCAGAAAUAAUGAUUGUUAUAUUCUGGACUAUAGGUUCCCUUUAAGAGUUCCGUUUAAGAAUCCUUUGUGUUUUAUAAAAAUAACAUGAUCAUGUGACUGCGUGUCUGUGGCAGACUCACCAUGUGACUUGUCGGUGUCAUUGAUAUAUCUGGAUCUUUGUAGAACUUGUUUACAGGGAGUGCAGAAUUAUUAGGCAAGUUGUAUUUUUGAGGAUUAAUUUUAUUAUUGAACAACAACCAUGUUCUCAAUGAACCCAAAAAACUCAUUAAUAUCAAAGCUGAAUAUUUUUGGAAGUAGUUUUUAGUUUGUUUUUAGUUAUAGCUAUGUUAGGGGGAUAUCUGUGUGUGCAGGUGACUAUUACUGUGCAUAAUUAUU